rnacentral:rRNA from 1 species
AAUGAACGCUGGCGGCAGGCCUAACACAUGCAAGUCGAACGAGUGGCGGACGGGUGAGUAAUGUCUGGGAAACUGCCCGAUGGAGGGGGAUAACUACUGGAAACGGUAGCUAAUACCGCAUACCAUCGGCUGUGCCCAGAUGUGAGUAGCUUGUAGGUGCGGUCACGGCUCACCUAGGUGACGAUCCCUAGCUGGUCUGAGAGGACGACCAGCCACACGAGGACGGAGACACGGUCUAGACCCAUAAGGGGGGCAGGCGUGGUGUAGAUUGCACAAUUGGCGCAAGCCUGAUGCAGCGAUACAGCGUGUGUGAAGAGGGCCUUCAAGUUGUAAAGUACGCUCAGCGGGGAGGCGUUACCCGCAGAAGAAGCACCGGCUAACUCCGGUCCAGCAGCCACGGUAAUAC